AUUGAACGCUGGCGGCAUGCUUUACACAUGCAAGUCGAACGGCAGCGGGGGCUUCGGCCCGCCGGCGAGUGGCGAACGGGUGAGUAAUGCAUCGGAACGUGCCCAGUCGUGGGGGAUAACACAUCGAAAGAUGUGCUAAUACCGCAUACGUCCUGAGGGAGAAAGCGGGGGAUCUUCGGACCUCGCGCGAUUGGAGCGGCCGAUGUCGGAUUAGCUAGUUGGUGGGGUAAAAGCCCACCAAGGCGACGAUCCGUAGCGGGUCUGAGAGGAUGAUCCGCCACACUGGGACUGAGACACGGCCCAGACUCCUACGGGAGGCAGCAGUGGGGAAUUUUGGACAAUGGGGGGCAACCCCUGAUCCAGCCAUGCCGCGUGAGUGAAG
rnacentral:rRNA from 1 species